GCCGAACGCUGGCGGCGUGCCUAAUACAUGCAAGUAGAACGCAGUUUCGAACGGGUGAGUAACGCGUAGGUAACUGCCUCAGAGCGGGGGAUAACUAUUGGAAACGAUAGCUAAUACCGCAUACUGUGAGAUGUACCUGCGUUGUAUUAGCUAGUUGGUGAGGUAAAGGCUCACCAAGGCGACGAUACAUAGCCGCACUGAGAGGGGGAGCGGGAAGAAGGGGAAUGAGACACGGCCCAGACGCGUAAGGGAGGCAGCAGUAGGGAAUCGUAGGAAAUGGAAGGAAGGCUGACAGAGCAACGAGGAGUGAGGGAAGAAGGUUUGCGGAGAGUAAAGCUCUGGGGUUAGAGAAGCGGUAACUAACCAGAAAGGGAGGGCUAACUACGUGCCAGCAGCCGCGGUAAUUC
rnacentral:rRNA from 1 species